rnacentral:rRNA from 1 species
GAUGAACGCUGGCGGCGUGCCUAAUACAUGCAAGUCGAGCGAAUGGAUUAAGAGCUUGCUCUUAUGAAGUUAGCGGCGGACGGGUGAGUAACACGUGGGUAACCUGCCCAUAAGACUGGGAUAACUCCGGGAAACCGGGGCUAAUACCGGAUAACAUUUUGAACCGCAUGGUUCGAAAUUGAAAGGCGGCUUCGGCUGUCACUUAUGGAUGGACCCGCGUCUGCAUUAGCUAGUUGGUGAGGUAACGGCUCACCAAGGCAACGAUGCGUAGCCGACCGGGGGGGGUGAUCGGCCACACUGGGACUGAGACACGGCCCAGACUCCUACGGGAGGCAGCAGUAGGGAAUCUUCCGCAAUGGACGAAAGUCUGACGGGGCAACGCCGCGUGAGUGAUGAAGGCUUUCGGGUCGUAAAACUCUGUUGUUAGGGAAGAACAAGUGCUAGUUGAAUAAGCUGGCACCUUGACGGUACCUAACCAGAAAGCCACGGCUAACUACGUGCCAGCCGCCGCAGUAA